rnacentral:tRNA from 1 species
GGCCAGUUAGCUCAGUUGAACGUAGCGCUAACAAUGCUAAGGUCGUGGGUUCGAUUCCCGUUCGGUCCC